CCUACGGGUUGCACCAGUGGGGAAUAUUGGACAAUGGGCGAAAGCCUGAUCCAGCAAUGCCGUGUGUGUGAAGAAGGUCUUCGGAUUGUAAAGCACUUUCGACGGGGACGAUGAUGACGGUACCCGUAGAAGAAGCCCCGGCUAACUUCGUGCCAGCAGCCGCGGUAAUACGAAGGGGGCCAGCGUUGCUCGGAGUGACUGGGCGUAAAAGGCGCGUAGGCGGUUUAUGCAGUCAGAUGUGAAAUCCCCGGGCUUAACCUGGGAACUGCAUUUGAGACGCAUAGACUAGAGGUCGAGAGAGGGUUGUGGAAUUUCCAGUGUAGAGGUGAAAUUCGUAGAUAUUGGGAAGAACACCGGUGGCGAAGGCGGCAACCUGGCUCGAUACUGACGCUGAGGCGCUAAAGCGUGGGGAGCAAAUAGGAUUAGAUACCCCUGUAGUC
rnacentral:rRNA from 1 species